rnacentral:rRNA from 1 species
AUGAACGCUGGCGGCGUGCCUAAUACAUGCAAGUCGAGCGAACAGAUGAGGAGCUUGCUCCUCUGACGUUAGCGGCGGACGGGUGAGUAACACGUGGAUAACCUACCUAUAAGACUGGGAUAACUUCGGGAAACCGGAGCUAAUACCGGAUAAUAUAUUGAACCGCAUGGUUCAAUAGUGAAAGACGGUUUUGCUGUCACUUAUAGAUGGAUCCGCGCCGCAUUAGCUAGUCGGUAAGGUAACGGCUUACCAAGGCAACGAUGCGUAGCCGACCUGAGAGGGUGAUCGGCCACACUGGAACUGAGACACGGUCCAGACUCCUACGGGAGGCAGCAGUAGGGAAUCUUCCGCAAUGGGCGAAAGCCUGACGGAGCAACGCCGCGUGAGUGAUGAAGGUCUUCGGAUCGUAAAACUCUGUUAUUAGGGAAGAACAAAUGUGUAAGUAACUAUGCACGUCUUGACGGUACCUAAUCAGAAAGCCACGGCUAACUACGUG